rnacentral:rRNA from 1 species
GAUGAACGCUGGCGGCGUGCCUAAUACAUGCAAGUCGAGCGAAUGGAUUAAGAGCUUGCUCUUAUGAAGUUAGCGGCGGACGGGUGAGUAACACGUGGGUAACCUGCCCAUAAGACUGGGAUAACUCCGGGAAACCGGGGCUAAUACCGGAUAACAUUUUGAACCGCAUGGUUCGAAAUUGAAAGGCGGCUUCGGCUGUCACUAUGGAUGGACCCGCGUCGCAUUAGCUAGUUGGUGAGGUAACGGCUCACCAAGGCAACGAGGCGUAGCCGCCCGGAGGGGGUGAUAGGCCGAACGGGGACUGCGAGACGGCCUAAACUUCUACGGAGGGCAGCAGUAGGGAAUCUUCCGCAAUGGACGAAAGUCUGACGGAGCAACGCCGCGUGAGGGAUGAAGGCUUUCGGGUCGUAAAACUCUGUUGUUAGGGAAGAACAAGUGCUAGUUGAAUAAGCUGGCACCUUGACGGUACCUAACCAGAAAGCCACGGCUAACUACGUGCCAGCCGCCGCAGUAA